rnacentral:rRNA from 1 species
GCCUAGAGAGAAGCUUGCGGCUGAUUAGCUUGUUGGUGAGGUAAUGGCUUACCAAGGCGACGAUCAGUAUCUGGUUUGAGAGGACGAUCAGACACACUGGAACUGAGACACGGUCCAGACUCCUACGGGAGGCAGCAGUGGAGAAUUUUCCGCAAUGGGCGAAGGCCUGACGGAGCAAUCUCGCGUGAGGGAUGACUGCCUAUGGGUUGUAAACCUCUUUUUUCAGGGAGGAAUCAAUGACGUGUACCUGAAGAAUAAGCAUCGGCUAACUCCGUGCCAGCAGCCGCGGUAAGACGGAGGAUGCAAGUGUUAUCCGGAAUCACUGGGCGUAAAGCGUCUGUAGGUGGUUUAAUAAGUCAACUGUUAAAUCUUGAAGCUCAACUUCAAAAUCGGAGUCGAAACUAUUAGACUAGAGUAUAGUAGGGGUAAAGGGAAUUUCCAGUGGAGCGGUGAAAUGCGUAGAGAUUG